UUUUUUUCCAAUAUUUUUAUUUUGUGGUGUAAAUAAGAUUCCAUUCACAUUACAGAAAUACUGAAUCACAAAUCAUCACAGAAAUACAGAAUCAAAAAUCACAGCACAGCAUCGGAUUUAAAGGCAUAGUUCACCCAAAAAUCAUCAUUCUGUCAUUUACUCGCCAAACCCACACAGCGUCUGAAAAACACAAGAAGAGGUGUUCUUGCUGCUCUUCUCAUUACAGAGAAAGCUGACAGUGACCAGCCAUAAAAAGAACAAAAUAAAAGUCCUGUGAAAGCAGAUACGCUGCUAAAUGUCAAAUGGAUUUGGGAUGGUGUGAAGGUUAGUAAUGAUGACGCAGUGUAGUGUGUGCAGAGGUACACAUGAAUGAAAUGUUGAGAUAUGAGUGUGUUUGCAGAGCUCACACGUCUGUCUUUGCUCUGGAGAGAUUAGUGCUGGUGAACAUAUCAGUCCUUCAGUCCACUAGAUAAGGAGCAGAGACGCCGGCUAGUAAACACAGAGAGUCAUUAUACUGAGACACGAGAGAAAAGGCCACUUCAUCAUCUGUGUGUGUUUGUAACGAUCAUGGUUUGUAUCCCAUGCAGAAAUAUGAAAAACAGAAAAUUCAGAAUAGAUGCAUUCAGACUUCGAGAUCAGGGAGCACUGCUUGAUUCAUUUCUCUACAUGAUGAGAAUUUUUUAGUCUCUUCUUUGUUUUUGAGUGUCAUUUUGAACUGUAAAGUGUUUCGUAAUUAAAAUCUCAUGAGGUUUAAAGGAUGAUGUUGCUCGUGUUGCUCUUUAUACAUCGUUAAAUGAUCGUCUAGUGUUUCUGCUCAAACAGACCCAAGUGAGCCAAUAGUCAUCAUUCAGAAAGAACACAGAGCUGUAAAAUCAGUGCUCAGAUCAUUUGAUGUUGAGAAAUUGAGUUAUUUUUUCAACUCAAGAGGAGGCACGUGUGAUAUUAGUCUUUUUCUCAGAAAAAAAACUGAAAAAAAGGAAACUUAUGGAAAAGUCUCAAUUUUCGCUCACUGUACGGAGAAACAACUGCGACAUUAAAGAGAUCCUCAUCGUGUUUUUCCCUCUCAGAAGUUACUUUAAUAUUUCGAAUUAGAUUUAAAUUUUAUAUUUUCUGAUUUUAAUUUAAAUUUAGUUAAAGAUUUAGUAAUUUUGUCAUUUUUUUUUUUUUUUUAAAUAUGUUCAUUACAAUUUAUUAUUUUUAGUUUAUUUAGUUUUAGUUAUUUUAGUACUUCGGUAGCACUUUAAAAUAAGGUUUAUUAGUUAACAUGAACUAAGCACGAACAACACUUCAGCAUGUAUUAAUCUUAAUGCUAAUUUCAACAUUUAC
ensembl:lncRNA